rnacentral:miRNA from 1 species
CACACCAGAAUUACCUGGGGAGAUUAUUAAAAAUACAGAUUCUUGGGCCCCACCCCUGGAGAUUGUGAAUCAGUAAGUAGAUCUGGGGUGGGGCCUGGGAAUUUGUAUUUUUAAACAAGUAAACUUCAGGUGAUUCUGAUGCCA